rnacentral:rRNA from 1 species
AUGAAGUCGGAAUUGCUAGUAAUGGCAGGUCAGCAUACUGCCGCGAAUACGUUCCCGGGCCCUUGUACACACCGCCCGUCACACCAUGAGAGUUGGGAAUACCCGAAGCCUGUGAGCCAACAAACGAGGCAGCAGUCGAAGGUAGAAUCAAUGAUUGGGGUGAAGUCGUAACAAGGUAGC